CGAAUCAUGACGGGAGAGUCCGGCAGGUCCACGUGACCGGGUCGGCGCCGAAGGAGCAAUCCCUCCCCGGGAAUCUCUCAGGCCCCCGUACCGUCAUGGCGAG
rnacentral:ncRNA from 1 species